UUUCCUGCCGACGCAGCGUAGGAGCGACGGGCCUACGGGGGUUCCUGGUGGGGCAUGAUCUACAGUCUACAGUGUGGGUGUGAGAGCUGGACACUGGUCUCUUCCCCUCCCCCUAAGAGGCCACGACAGGGACACCCCGGAGCCCAGGUUCCAGGUGUGGCUCAGGGAGAGAUAGUCCAGCCUAGGCAGCAGGAGACCGAGGGCGACCACCUUGCACAUCCAUGGAAUCACGAGUAAGGAUUUCAACUGCUCUGACUGGCUGUGUGGACCAAACAUCAUUCAUCUGCCUCCAAACUGCCUAGUGGCUCUGCUUCCACUGCCAUCCCUCUUCCUGAGGCAGCUUCUUGGGCUUAGAGAGCACAUUCACUUAGACUUCCAGAAGCUGGAGCCAGGAAAUGGGCUCAGACCACCCACAUAAUUGAGGAUUAACAACCAGAAUAACAAGAAAACUAUAGAAAACAGAAAUCCUAACACCUGGGCCAUUAAGCAACAUCAUGAUAAACGGAGAGGAUAUUGAGAUUGUAGAGGAUUUCAUUUUACUUGGAUCUAUAAUCAACACCCAUGGAAGCAGCAGUCAAGAAAUCAAAAGACAUAUUGCAUCGGGCAAAUCAGCUGCAAAAGAUCUCUUUGAAGUGUGGAAAAGGAAGGAUGUCACUUUGAGGACUAAGGUGCGCCUGACUUAAGCCAUGGUUUUUUCAAUUGCCUCAUAUGCAUGCAAAAGCUGGACAGUGAAUAAGGAUGACCGAAGAAUUGAUGCCUUUGAAUUGUGCUGUUGGAGAAGAAUAUUGAAUAUACCAUGAACUGCCAAAAGAAUGAACAAAUCUGUCUUUGAAGAAGUACAAUCAGAAUGCUCCUUAGAAGCAAGGAUGCAGGUGGUCCUGUCAGGUCUUGAUGACUUGAAGUUCUUUAAGAAAAGCUCAGCGCCUUGGUUUUCCAGUUUGUUCAGGCCAUUGGGCCCUCCCAUGGCUGGUGAGGGGCCAGAAGAAAAACUUCCAGUCCUGCAGUGUUGCCCAGUUGUUAAUAUUUCAUCCUGCUUUCACCCUGUGCUUCAUGUUUUGUUAAAUAUCCUGGACUCAGUGACGGGUGAGGAUGUGGCUGUGGACUUUACCCAGGAAGAGUGGGCAUUGCUGGAUCUUUCUCAAAGGAAACUCUACAGAGAGGUGAUGAUGGAAACCUUCAGAAACCUGGCCUCAGUAGUUUCUCAAAACCCUAAUGAUGGAGAAAAGCGAUCCACUGAAAAUAUAAUAGUACGGUUCAUGAUAAAUGACAUCUGGUCCUCCAUGGUAAGAGAAAUCUACAAAUUGCAUGGCAUUGAAGAUCAGGAUAACAACCAGGAAACACAUGUGAGCAUGCUGCCUAUUUUUAACAGAAGGCAUGUGGUAAAGAACCUCUGUAAAAGUAAUGAAGACAGUCAGUAUGGACAAACCUUCAGCUGGAUUCCAGAUGUUUCUGUGCUCAAAAGAACUCUUAUUGAAGCAUAUCGUUCUGAAUGCCUCGAGUGUGGAAAAUCCAUGGUGGGUCAUUCAUCCCUUAAGCAUCAUAUCAGAUCUCACUCUGGAUGUAGUGCCUAUCAGUGUAAGGAAUGUGGAGAAGCCUGCAGUUGUCCCUCUUACCUCAGCACUUCUGUGAGAACUCUCACUGGAAAGAAACCCUAUGAAUGUAAGGAAUGUGGGAAAGCCUUUAGGUGGCCAUCACACCUUACUUCACAUGUAAGAUGUCACAGUGGAACGAGGCCUUAUGAAUGUAAGGAAUGUGGGAAAGCCUUUCAUACAUCCUCAAACCUCACUAUACAUAUGAAAAUUCACAGUGGAGAGAGGCCUUGUGAAUGUAAGGAAUGUGGGAAAACCUUCCGUCAGUCCUCAGGCCUCACUACACAUAUGAGAAUUCACAGUAGAGAGAGGCCUUUUAAAUGUAAGGAAUGUGGCAAAGCCUUUUGUCUUUCUUCACAUCUCACUAGACAUAUGAGAACUCACAGUGGAGAGAGGCCUUAUGAAUGUAAGGAAUGUGGGAAAGCCUUUUGCCAGUCCUCAUACCUCACUACACAUAUAAGAAGUCACAGUGGAGAGAGACCUUAUGAAUGCAAGGAAUGUGGCAAAUCCUUUAGUCAGUCCUCAAGCCUCGCUACACAUAUAAGAACUCAUAGUGGAGAGAGGCCUUAUAAAUGUAGGGAAUGCGGGAAAGCCUUUAGUCAGUUCUCAUACUUCACUAAACAUAUGAGUACUCACAGUGGAGAGAGGCCUUAUGAAUAUAAGGAAUGUGGCAAAGCCUUUAGUCACUCCUCAGACCUUACUGUACAUAUAAGAAGUCACAGUGAAGAGAGGCCUUAUGAAUAUAAAUAAGACAGAGGUCCCCAGCCUGUGGAAAAUUCCAGUGCCUCAAACAGCUUGCUUGACACACCCCGUAGUUUUACAUUAGCAUCCUGGUUCCCUUGCUUGACAUGCUCAGUAGCUUUACGUUAACAUCCUGGCUCCCCGUUACUGCUGCCCAGAACUAGAGGAAAUUGGCAGAAAUCCAUUUAGGCACGAUGUUGACAUUCUGAAUAACUUAUUAGCUCAAUAAAUACCUCAUACUUAGUAACUUCCCCGCCACUAGGUGGAAUUUAACUGCCAUUUUUGUGAACAUACAAUGCAUGAAGUUAUGUGUAAAAACCCUAUUGCACCUGCAUAAUAUGAUUAAGAAUGUUACUAAUGUAACUUGUAUGAACUUCCUGCUUGUAAACCCCAUGAAAGUAACCUUCCUCUCACCCUCACUGAGCAGUCUUGGCGGCAGCAGCCCUGACUGUUCCUUUUAUGGUCAAAUAAAAGCACCUUUCUGAUCUCCCACCUCAGUCUCAUUUAUUGGCUGAGAUGAUUCGCACCAAGUAAAACCUGGGGUUUCCACUCAGCAACAUAAGAAAUUUGGCAAAGCCUUUAGUUGGCCAACACACCUCACUACACAUAUAAGAACUCAUGAUGUAGAGAGAACUUAUGAAUGUAAGGAAUGUGGCAAAGCCUUUAGUUGGCUAUCACACCUCACUGUACACAUAAGAAGUCACAGUGGAGAGAGACCUUAUGAAUUUAAGGAGUGUGCCAAAGCCUUUAUUUGGUCCUCACACUUCACCAAACAUAAGCGCACUCACAGUGGAGACAGGUCUUAUGAAUGUAAGGAAUGUGGGAAAUCCUUUUAUGUGUCCUCAGAUUUCACUAUACACAUAAGAAUUCACAAUGCAGAGAGGCGUUAUGAAUGUAAGGAAUGUGGCAAAGCCUUUUGUCAGUGCUCACACCUCACUGCACAUGUGAGAACUCAAAGUGGUGAGAGGCCUUAAGUAAGGAAUGUGGGAAAGCCUUUAGUCAGUCUCCACUGCUUACUGAACAUAAAUAACCUCACAGUGGGAGAGACUGUGCAUGUAAGGAAAGUGGAAAAGCAUUUAGCUCUUCCUCACCUCUCACUGACAUAAGAAAUCACUCUGAGAAAAACAUUUUGAAUGUACGAAAUAUCGGAAAUACUUUUGUGAAUCCUCAAACCUGACUAACCAUAUAAAAACACUGGAGAGAGGUUUUAUAAAUGUAAGGAAUAUGGGAAAAUCUUCAGAUGUCCCUCAUCCUUUGGAACACAUCUAAGGAUACUGGAGAGAAACAAUACAUGUUUAAGUAAUGUUGGGUAGCUUUAAUCUCUCUCUCUCUUUCUUGUUUUGCUCUACC